rnacentral:piRNA from 1 species
UAACACUGCAUAUGCAACACU